GUCCAGCAGAAGGGUCUGUGUUUUGCCCGGGGUCCUGAGAGCGUGCUGGGGAUAGCAGGGGUGGAGUGCAGGUGUGCCCAUGGGCGCCCCGGGUCCAGGGCCGCGGAGCCGCUCUCGGGCGGGAGACCUUGCCCCAGGGGCACGUCAGCGGUCCUGAGGUGAGGCUCCUGCAGAGCACUCUGGGCCGCGUGUGUCUCUCCCUGCGUGGGCAGGCAGUGUCGGUGGCCGGAGCGAGGGUGUUUUCCCAUCGGGGUGAGAGGGAGAGCCCCAGGGUGGGCCUGGGGGCGGAAUCGGACUCGGGGUUGGGUGGACUCUUCUGAAGCUGGGAGGGGUGCGGGUGGGCAGGGCCUUAGGGAGCCUGAGGGAGGCGCGGUUCCUGGGGGAAGGGUGUGGCGAGGCGGCGGCAGCCCGCGUGCGCUGUGCGCCCCAGCGAAGGGGCAGUGCUGGCCACUCGUGUGGCCCUUUGGCUGGCACCCAGUGAGAGGGGGGCGGCCAGGGACAGGUGGCAGCCAGGCUGCCCACAGGCCCUGGGCGGUGGGGGGCCCGGCCCCUGUGCCUUGGGCAGCCUGGCCCCUUGCUGAGGCGUGCUUGCGCGUGUCCGUUGUCGCCCUCACCCAGCUGCUGCGGCGGAGAAACGGAGGCCAGCGCGGGGAGCGGAAGCCGGAGCCUGUCGGGAGCGACCCCGGAAAGGCCAGUCCCUCCUGCCGGAGGGAGGCGUGUUGGCGUGCGGCCGGUGGCGGGAUCGAUGGCCACCUGGUAGGCGAUGCUGCUGCGGCGGAGAGACGGAGGCCAGCGCGGGGAGCGGAAGCCGGAGCCUGUCGGGAGCGACCCCGGGAAGGCCAGUCCCUCCUGCCGGAGGGAGGCGUGUUGGCGUGCGGCCGGUGGCGGGAUCGAUGGCCACCUGGUAGGCGAUGGUAAGCGGCAGUGGCCUGCGCCAAGGUAGCCCCCGGGGGGGUGUGUGGCGCCCGGACCCGCACCCUCUGCUCCCGGGGGUGGAGCUGACCUGCUUGCCCGCGGUUGGGCUCGGGAGCCUGCGGGCCGCGGCCAGGAGGGAGCUGGCUGGCCGUCCCGGCGGUGGGGCUGUGGCGGUGGCCGUCCCGCGGGUGUGCCCGUGCUCGGAUCGAUGAUGACACCCACAAACGCAUUCCUUGGAAAAUCUGAACAAAAUGAGUGAGAACUCACUACCGUCUCCUCAUCGCAAACUGAGGUCCGGCACGUGGCUCCCACAGGGGACGUCGGGGGAGGGUCCCGUUGCCUUGGCUCCCUUGGGUGCGUGCAGCCCUGGGGCGCAGGUGGGGCAGGCAGGCCUCCGGUGGCCCAGGGCCAGGCCUCCCGAGGGGCCCCGGGGCCCGGUGCCCGGCGGGAAAGCCUUGGGAGUGGCAGGCCCAGUGUGGGGUGGGCUGCCUGCGGUGUGUGUGAGCGCCGCUGGGCUCUCAGGCCUGCGGCUGCCUCCUUGAGGCCUCCGCGGGGUCCUGCCCGCGGUGUCGGGCGCAGAGGGUGUCUGUAGGUUGCGGGUGAGCAGCGGGGGCCUUGGCCUCGGCGGGACUGCCGACCCAGGUUCUGGUGGGGAGAGAGGAGGCCGGCCGGGGGGCCUUGCCGAGAUGGCCGUUUGGGCGGGGUCGGACGCCUUGGCCUGGGCCUUCACGGGGUCGGCGGGGCUGCCAGUGCCUUUCCCUCGCAGAGUCCUUGGUGGUCAUCGAGAACCCUGGAGCCCCUGCGGCAUUUCCCAGAGACGUGGAGGCGGUGGGCGCCAGGUGGCCCUGGGCGGUGCCGAGUCGGCCGCGGACUGGGGUCGAGAGAAGUGCAGGAGGGCCAGAGGUCCUGGGCCAGUGUGCGCAGAGCACCGUGAGGGGGAGUGUUGGGUGCCCGGGGCGGCAGUGCCUUCAGGGCGGCCUGGGCUAUGAUGUGGGAUAUCCUC
rnacentral:lncRNA from 1 species